GUGAGGAUGGCUGAGCUGUCUAAGGCGCUGCGUUCAGUUCGCAGUCCGUUCUUCCGGGCGUGGGUUGAAAUCACACUUCUGACA
rnacentral:tRNA from 1 species